AUACGGAAGGUGCAAGCGUUAAUCGGAAUUACUGGGCGUAAAGCGCGCGUAGGCGGCUAGAUAAGUCGGGUGUGAAAGCCCCGGGCUCAACCUGGGAACUGCAUUCGAUACUGUCUGGCUAGAGUGUGAUAGAGGGAGGCGGAAUUCCGCAUGUAGCGGUGAAAUGCGUAGAGAUGCGGAGGAACACCAAUGGCGAAGGCAGCCUCCUGGAUUAACACUGACGCUGAGGUGCGAAAGCGUGGGGAGCAAACAGGAUUAGAAACCCCAGUAGUCC
rnacentral:rRNA from 1 species